GAUGAACGCUGGCGGCGUGCCUAAUACAUGCAAGUCGAGCGAACAGAUGAGAAGCUUGCUUCUCUGAUGUUAGCGGCGGACGGGUGAGUAACACGUGGGUAACCUACCUAUAAGACUGGGAUAACUCCGGGAAACCGGGGCUAAUACCGGAUAAUAUGUUGAACCGCAUGGUUCAAUAGUGAAAGACGGUUUCGGAUGUCACUUACAGAUGGACCCGCGCCGGAUUAGCUAGUUGGUAAGGUAACGGCUUACCAAGGCGACGAUACGUAGCCGACCUGAGAGGGUGAUCGGCCACACUGGAACUGAGACACGGUCCAGACUCCUACGGGAGGCAGCAGUAGGGAAUCUUCCGCAAUGGGCGAAAGCCUGACGGAGCAACGCCGCGUGAGUGAUGAAGGUCUUCGGAUCGUAAAACUCUGUUGUUAGGGAAGAACAAAUUUGUUAGUAACUGAACAAGUCUUGACGGUACCUAACCAGAAAGCCACGGCUAACUACGUGCCAGCCGCCGCAGUAA
rnacentral:rRNA from 1 species